UUCAUUUUAUAUCUUUU
rnacentral:sRNA from 1 species